UAUAGGCAUGUACUACCUCGCCUGGUGCACAUUAUCUUAUUCUUUGGUUGAGAGAUGUUUUUAAACUAGGAAAACAGCCUCUCUGAGUCAUGUAAGGGAAGGUGGUGAGGGAGAAUUUAGAUUCUGGGGAAGAGUGGUGGGGAAAAGCUUGGGAAGGUCAAUUUGGAUGCCGGGAGUGAGAAUUUGUAGGCUCUCCCGUUAAUUAGCUUUUGUCUUCUCAGUCAAGAUGUUUCCUGAGACAGCAAUGGGAAAUUGACUUUGGGAAUUUUAAUUUUACUGGACAAAAUUCUUGGCCCCUGAAGUCCUGUUUCUGGACGCCAGCACUAUUGACAUUUUGACCAGAUAAUUAAUUGGGAUGAGGGGCAAUCGUGUGCACUGGAGGAUAUUUAACAGCAUCUCUGGCCUCUACCUGUAGGAGCUCCCUCUCCUGUGCCCCCAGCAGUGCCCACCAAAGUGUCUCCAGGCCUGGUCAACUGUCCCCUGAGGAGCUAAAUCACCUCAUGCUGAGAACCAUUGAUCUAGAGCAAUAGACGCCAUCCUGGCAAUCCAGAAGGUCCCUGGCCGUUACCUUUGAACAGCGAGAACGUGACCUUCCCAUGUUGCUCUGCCGUAGAGGGAGCUAAGCUCCUCCCCAGUGCUGCGCGCUACCGAAGUGGGUAAAGGCAGGCGUCGCUUCCUGGGCACACGGGUGGUUCUCUUAGGACACAAUCCAGCUUCGUGGUGGAAGGUUGUUUUGCUUUCUCUGUGGUUUCCGUGUGGGCUGCUGGAGGCAACAUGGUUGUUAUGACAGUCGGGGACACGGAAGCUCUUCUCACAGGGAUCGAACUCAAGGCAGGUGGCGGAACCACUGAGCUAAAUCCCUGGCCCUGAUGACAGUGAUUUGAAGUGGCACCAGUGUCCUGCUGGAAUAGUGCUGGCCACAUAUUCUGCGGUCCACCUCAUGGUUCCAGGACCUUGUGGAAGUCAUGAAGCAUGAGUAGUAAUCGUGAGCAAGGGAGUCCCCUCCCCGCAGUAUUGGGAAUUCAACCCACGGCAUUGCACAUGCUGGGUACGCACUCUACCAAUGAGCCACAUCCUCAGUCCCUGGGUCUUCUCCUUUCUAUCCAAGGAUAAGCAGAUGGGGCAAGCAUGAGGCUGGGAGGAGGGAGGAAGGGUAUGUUUUGAACCUGGCUACAUAAUGAGGCAUACAGUUGACUGAACUGUGUCUAAGCAUUUGGAGUGGUGGGGGUGGGGAAUUAGGAGCUUCCCUCUUACCCUUUAGGCAGUCUUCCCCCAUCCCAGAAGUGGCAUCUUCCAUGUUAGAGAAUAUUGUAAAACUCAUUCUUAAAUAGCUAAGAAAGAAAACCAACAGCAUACGAGUACUUGUUAGAACUUUAUCACAAAAGGAAUCACACCCUUUAAGUUAGGUCACCCACUACCACCACAGACAAAAACCAUUUCCCUUUUCUGUUAUUGCUCAGGUUUCAAAACAUUUUUCUUUUUAUUUUGCAAAACAAUGUCAGAGAAACAAGUGAGUAUUUCCGGGUCCAUCUGAGGUCAGCAGGAUCCCCAAGUAAGAGGUGCUUCAUCCAAUUCCUGGUGAAAAAUCGACUCCUGGUGGAACUGUUAAUUUGCAAACUCUGGAAAGAGGAAAGUUUAAAUUUUUCCAGCUGCCAAACUUGGGACUUCAUGAUGAAUCAUCAGGACAGACUUUCUAGGCCAAGUGUGAACCCUGCUCCGGGCCACCAGUCUGAGGCCAGAGGAACGUGACAAGUUUAUUUAGAUGCCUUGCCAGAGUUCUGAUGCCUGGGCCUGGGAUCUUCAGUGAAGGAGAAAGCUUACUCACUUGAAAGGCUUGGAUUACUGAGCAGCUCCAAAGAGCCACUGCAGGAGGGAUUUUCUCCUUGCUGAAGUCUUUCUUAGCAUCUAAGAUACUAAGCAAAAAGGAAAGAAAAGAUGAAAGAGAAGGCCCUCUUUAAAAAUAUAGUUAAGCCAACCCAUUAAAGAGAAAACCAGAGAUUUCUAAACUAAUAAAUAAGCUCAUUACUUCAUUGGGGAAUUACAA